rnacentral:pre_miRNA from 1 species
UCAACCCAUUUAACCUUCUAACCCAUCAAAUUAAAUGAGUUGAUGGGUUGACUCAACUCAUUUAGUAAAAUGAGUUGAGUCAACCCAUCAACUCAUUUAACUCUAAACUCAUUGGGUAAUGGGU